rnacentral:misc_RNA from 1 species
UUUCCGUAGGUGAACCUGCGGAAGGAUCAUUAAAAAUGGACUCUAAGAGUCAUUAAUAAUCCUCACCUUUGUGAAUUUGUUGUUUGAAAUAGUUUUUUAAAAAAUUAUUGAAUGUCUUUCCCUGUUUGUUGGCUUGUGAAACAUACAGGGAAUGGCAACAAUAAUAUUUUAAAGACUUUUUUAAAUAAACUUUGUAUUCAUUUGUCUAAAUUAUUUUAUAAUAUAAAAACAACUUUGACAAUGAUCUCUUGGUCUCGCAACGAUGAAGAACGCAGCAAAAUGCGAUAAGUAGUGUGAAUUGCAGAAUACGUGAAUCAUCGAAUCUUCGAACGCAUAUUGCACUUUUUAGUUACUAAAAAGUAUGUCUGUUGAGUAUCAGUAAAAUAUUCUCAUAAAAACAUUUUUUUUAUGGUUAUGAGUGUUUUACAACGAUAACAAGUUGUUUCACUUUAAUUCUUCGUUAUCAAAAAAAUCAUUAAAGCUAUUUAAAGAUUUUUUAAAAUUGGAUAAAAUUUUCCCGUAAAAGGAAUAACCUAAACAAUUUAAAAAUUAAAAUUGGAUUUUUUUGAUAUAAAAGGAAAAGUAAAUUAACUUGAUCUCAAUCAGAUAAGAGUACCGCUGAACUAAGCAUAUCAAUAAGCGGAGGAAAAGAACUAACUAGAUUCCUAGUAACGGCGAGUGAAGCGGGAAGAGCUCAAAUUUGAAAUCUUCAAGGUUUACCUUGACGAAUUGUAGUUUAAAGAAGUGUUUCUGUUGAGUUUUGGUAAAAGUUCUUGGAAAGACAUCAAGAGGGUGAGAAUCCCGUAUUUGACAUUUUUCCAGCUUGUGAUACACUUUCAAAGAGUCGGAUUGUUUGGGAAUGCAGUCCAAAAUGGUGGUAAAUUUCAUCUAAAGCUAAAUAUUGCGAGAGACCGAUAGCGAACAGUACCGUGAGGGAAAGAUGAAAAGAACUUUGAAAAGAGAGUUAACAGUACGUGAAAUUGUCAAAAGGGAAGCGUUUGACACCAGUGUUGUUUUCUCGAAAAUCAAUUAAAAAUGGAUUUUGUGUUGUAUUGACUUCAUCAGCUUUCUGCACUUUUCUUGUCUUUUUAAUGCACUUUUCGUUAACAAGUCAACAUCAAUUUCUUUUGUUGUAAAAGGUCAUUGGAAGGUGGCUUUCAUUUCGGUGAAAGUGUUUAUAGCCUUUGGCUUCUGCAAUCGGAGAGAUUGAGGUCUGCAGCGUAGAUCCUUCGGGUUAGAUACAUUUGUGCUAAGUUAUAGUUUUCAUAGACAACUUGUUGACUAUGAUCAUCAUGUAGCUUACUCGCUUAUGCUAUU